UGGGGAAUUUUCCGCAAUGGGGGGAACCCUGACGGAGCAACGCCGCGUGCGGGAGGACGGCCUGUGGGUUGUAAACCGCUUUUCUCUAGGAAGAAGGUCUGACGGUACUAGAGGAAUCAGCAUCGGCUAACUCCGUGCCAGCAGCCGCGGUACGACGGAGGAUGCAAGCGUUAUCCGGAAUUAUUGGGCGUAAAGCGUCCGUACGCGGUUCAUCAAGUCAGUUGUUAAAGACUGCAGCUCAACUGUGGGCGUGCAUCUGAAACUGUUGUACUAGAGUGCGGUAGGGGUAGAGGGAAUUCCCAGUGUAGCGGUGAAAUGCGUAGAUAGGGGGAAGAACACCAGUGGCGAAGGCGCUCUACUGGGCCGCAACUGACGCUGAGGGACGAAAGCUAGGGGAGCGAAAGGGAUUAGAUACCCCCGUAGUCC
rnacentral:rRNA from 1 species